rnacentral:tRNA from 1 species
CUACUUAUGAGAAAUUCUCUCUUAUCA